rnacentral:rRNA from 1 species
AGAGUUUGAUCCUGGCUCAGAUUGAACGCAGGCGGUAUGCUUAACACAUGCAAGCCGAACGGUAACAGCAGAGCUUGCUCUGGCUGACGAGUGGCGGACGGGUGCGUAACGCGUGGGAAUCUACCUUAUAGUGGGGGAUAGCCCGGAGAAAUCCGGAUUAAUACCGCAUAAUCUCUACGGAGGAAAAGGGGCCUCUCCUUGGAAGCUCUUGCUAUUAGAUGAGCCCGCGUAAGAUUAGCUUGUUGGUAGGGUAAUGGCCUACCAAGGCUACGAUCUUUAGCUGGUUUGAGAGGAUGAUCAGCCACACUGGGACUGAGACACGGCCCAGACUCCUACGGGAGGCAGCAGUGGGGAAUAUUGGACAAUGGGCGCAAGCCUGAUCCAGCAAUACCGCGUGUGUGAAGAAGGCCUGAGGGUUGUAAAGCACUUUCAAUUGUGAAGAAAAGCCUUAAAUUAAUACUUUAGGGUCUUGACGUUAACUUUAGAAGAAGCACCGGCUAACUCCGUGCCAGCAGCCGCGGUAAUACGGAGGGUGCGAGCGUUAAUCGGAAUUACUGGGCGUAAAGCGUACGUAGGCGGUUUAGUAAGUCAGAUGUGAAAGCCCCGGGCUCAACCUGGGAACUGCAUUUGAUACUGCUGGGCUAGAGUGCAGGAGGGGAGAGCGGAAUUCUUGGUGUAGCGGUGAAAUGCGUUGAUAUCAAGAAGAACACCGGUGGCGAAGGCGGCUCUCUGGAAUGUUACUGACGCUGAGGCACGAAAGCUGGGGGAGCGAACAGGAUUAGAUACCCUGGUAGUCCCAGCCGUAAACGGUGCGCACUUGGUGUGGGAAGUUUGACCCUUUCCGUGCCGGAGCUAACGCGUUAAGUGCGCCGCCUGGGGAGUACGGCCGCAAGGUUAAAACUCAAAGAAAUUGACGGGGGCCCGCACAAGCGGAGGAGCAUGUGGCUUAAUUCGAUGCAACGCGAAGAACCUUACCAGGGCUUGACAUGCAGCUGCACGUCCGCCGAAAGGUGGAAAGCCUUCGAGGGUGCUGCACAGGUGCUGCAUGGCUGUCGUCAGUUCGUGCCGUGAGGUGUUGGGUUAAGUCCCGCAACGAACGCAACCCCUGUGUUUAGUUGCCACCGCAGGUGAUGAGCCUGCGAGCACUCUAAACAGACUGCCUGUACAAGCAGGAGGAAGGUGGGGACGACGUCAAGUCAGUAUGGCCCUUACGUCCUGGGCUGCACACGUGCUACAAUGGUCGGUACAGAGGGAUGCAAGACCGCGAGGUGGAGCAAAUCCCGAAAGCCGGCCUCAGUUCGGAUUGGAGUCUGCAACUCGACUCCAUGAAGUCGGAUUCGCUAGUAACGGCGUAUCAGCUACGGCGCCGUGAAUACGUUCCCGGGCCUUGUACACACCGCCCGUCACAUCAUGAAAGCCGUCUGCACCCGAAGUCGCUGAGCUAACCCGCAAGGGAAGCAGGUGCCGAAGGUGUGGGUGGUGAUUGGGAUGAAGUCGAAACAAGGUA